GACGAACGCUGGCGGCGUGCUUAACACAUGCAAGUCGAACGGUGAAGCGCCUUCCUUUUUGGUGGGUGUGGAUGAGUGGCGAACGGGUGAGUAACACGUGAGUAACCUGCCCCCUUCUUCUGGAUAACCGCAUGAAAGUGUGGCUAAUACGGGAUAUUCUGGGUCUGUCGCAUGAUGGGUCUGGGAAAGAUAUUGUUUCGGUGGGGGAUGGGCUCGCGGCCUAUCAGCUUGUUGGUGGGGUGAUGGCCUACCAAGGCGGUGACGGGUAGCCGGCCUGAGAGGGUCGACGGUCACACUGGGACGGAGACACGGACCAGACUCCGACGGGAGGCAGCAGUGAGGAAUAUUGCACAAUGGGCGCAAGCCUAAUGCAGCGACGCCGCGUGAGGGAUGGAGGCCUUCGGGUUGUGAACCUCUUUCGCCAGUGAAGCAGGCCUGCCUCGUUUGUGGGUGGGUUGACGGUAGCUGGAUAAGAAGCGCCGGCUAACUACGUG
rnacentral:rRNA from 1 species